AUACGAAGGGUGCCAGCGUUGUUCGGAAUUACUGGGCGUAAAGCGAGUGUAGGCGGCAUUGAGAGUCAUAGGUGAAAUCCCCAAGCUCAACUUGGGAACUGCCUGUGAGACCUCAGUGCUAGAGUACUGAAGGGGCUAGCGGAAUUCCGUGUGUAGCGGUGAAAUGCGUAGAUAUACGGAGGAACACCUGUGGCGAAGGCGGCUAGCUGGUCAGAUACUGACGCUGAGACUCGAAAGCGUGGGGAGCAAACAGGAUUAGAAACCCCGGUAGUCC
rnacentral:rRNA from 1 species